CGUACACUCCUGCGGGAGGCAGCAGUGGGGAAUAUUGGACAAUGGGCGCAAGCCUGAUCCAGCCAUGCCGCGUGAGUGAUGAAGGCCCUAGGGUUGUAAAGCUCUUUCACCGGUGAAGAUAAUGACGGUAACCGGAGAAGAAGCCCCGGCUAACUUCGUGCCAGCAGCCGCGGUAAUACGAAGGGGGCUAGCGUUGUUCGGAUUUACUGGGCGUAAAGCGCACGUAGGCGGACUAUUAAGUCAGGGGUGAAAUCCCGGGGCUCAACCCCGGAACUGCCUUUGAUACUGGUAGUCUUGAGUUCGAGAGAGGUGAGUGGAAUUCCGAGUGUAGAGGUGAAAUUCGUAGAUAUUCGGAGGAACACCAGUGGCGAAGGCGGCUCACUGGCUCGAUACUGACGCUGAGGUGCGAAAGCGUGGGGAGCAAACAGGAUUAGAUACCCCUGUAGUCCCAUGAU
rnacentral:rRNA from 1 species